rnacentral:RNase_P_RNA from 1 species
UAAAUCGAAUGGUCGCGGAUAUAGUAUAAUGCUAUAUAUGAGGAAAGUCCGGGCUCCAUAGAGCAAGGGUGCUGGGUAACUCCCAGUGAGGGUAACCUUAAGGAAAGUGCAACAGAAAAUAACCGCCAAUAUUGGUAAGGGUGAAAAUGUGAGGUAAGAGCUCACAAUAAAUAUGGUGACAUAUUUAUCAUGUAAACCCCAUCUGGAGAAACAUCUUUAAAUAGAAGCUAUAAACUGCUCGUUUGCUUCUGAUAGGUGGAUUGAGGAAUAUAGAGAUAUAUUCACUAGAUAAAUGACCAUUCUAGACAGAACCCGGCUUACAGAUUUACUUA